rnacentral:tRNA from 1 species
UAGCUCAGUGGUAGAGCGUGUGCUUAACGUGCACGAAGCACCUGGGUUCAAUCCCCAG